rnacentral:rRNA from 1 species
GAUGAACGCUGGCGGCGUGCCUAACACAUGCAAGUCGAACGGAGAUUACGGACGGAAGUUUUCGGAUGGAAGCCUGUAAUUCUUAGUGGCGGACGGGUGAGUAACGCGUGGGCAACCUGCCCUAUACAGGGGGAUAGCAGCUGGAAACGGCUGGUAAGACCGCAUAAGUCGGUUAAAUCGCAUGAUUUGAUCGGGAAAUGAGCAAUCAGGUAUAGGAUGGGCCCGCGUCCGAUUAGCCAGUUGGCAGGGUAAAAGCCUACCAAAGCGACGAUCGGUAGCCGGACUGAGAGGUCGGACGGCCACAUUGGGACUGAGACACGGCCCAAACUCCUACGGGAGGCAGCAGUGGGGGAUAUUGCACAAUGGAGGAAACUCUGAUGAAGCGACGCCGCGUGAGUGAAGAAGUAUUUCGGUAUGUAAAGCUCUAUCAGCAGGGAAGAUGAUGACGGUACCUGACUAAGAAGCCCCGGCUAACUACGUG